rnacentral:rRNA from 1 species
UGAUUCGGGGCUCCGGCCCGAUCCUCCCACCCUUUGUGUACCCACCUCUGUUGCUUUGGCGGGCCGCGGUCCUCCGCGGCCGCCCUCCGUCCGGGGGGUGGCCAGCGCCCGCCAGAGGACCAUCGAACUCCGGUCAGUGAACGUUGCCGUCUGAAAAACAAUCAAUAAACUAAAACUUUCAACAACGGAUCUCUUGGUUCUGGCAUCGAUGAAGAACGCAGCGAAAUGCGAUAAGUAAUGUGAAUUGCAGAAUUCAGUGAAUCAUCGAAUCUUUGAACGCACAUUGCGCCCCUCGGUAUUCCGAGGGGCAUGCCUGUUCGAGCGUCAUUACAACCCUCAAGCUCUGCUUGGUGUUGGGCACCGCCCUUCCGCGGGCGCGCCUCAAAGACCUCGGCGGUGGCGUCUUGCCUCGAGCGUAGUAGAAAACACCUCGCUUUGGAGCGCACGGCGCCGCCCGCCGGACGAACCUUUUGAACUUUCUCAAGGUUGACCUCGGAUCAGGUAGGGAUACCCGCUGAACUUAAGCAUAUCAAUAA